rnacentral:rRNA from 1 species
UACAGAGGGUGCAAGCGUUAAUCGGAAUUACUGGGCGUAAAGCGCGCGUAGGUGGUUUGUUAAGUUGAAUGUGAAAUCCCCGGGCUCAACCCGGGAACUGCAUGCAAAACUGGCAAGCUAGAGUAUGGUAGAGGGUGGUGGAAUUUCCUGUGUAGCGGUGAAAUGCGUAGAUAUAGGAAGGAACACCAGUGGCGAAGGCGACCACCUGGACUGAUACUGACACUGAGGUGCGAAAGCGUGGGGAGCAAACAGG